rnacentral:rRNA from 1 species
AGAGCGAACGCUGGCGGCAGGCUUAACACAUGCAAGUCGAGCGGAUGUAGCAAUACAUCAGCGGCAGACGGGUGAGUAACACGUGGGAACGUACCUUUUGGUUCGGAACAACACAGGGAAACUUGUGCUAAUACCGGAUAAGCCCUUACGGGGAAAGAUUUAUCGCCGAAAGAUCGGCCCGCGUCUGAUUAGCUAGUUGGUGAGGUAAUGGCUCACCAAGGCGACGAUCAGUAGCUGGUCUGAGAGGAUGAUCAGCCACAUUGGGACUGAGACACGGCCCAAACUCCUACGGGAGGCAGCAGUGGGGAAUAUUGGACAAUGGGCGCAAGCCUGAUCCAGCCAUGCCGCGUGAGUGAUGAAGGCCCUAGGGUUGUAAAGCUCUUUGUGCGGGAAGAUAAUGACGGUACCGCAAGAAUAAGCCCGGCUAACUUCGUGCCAGCAGCCGC